rnacentral:rRNA from 1 species
UGGUAAGGUAACGGCUUACCAAGGCAACGAUGCGUAGCCGACCUGAGAGGGUGAUCGGCCACACUGGAACUGAGACACGGUCCAGACUCCUACGGGAGGCAGCAGUAGGGAAUCUUCCGCAAUGGGCGAAAGCCUGACGGAGCAACGCCGCGUGAGUGAUGAAGGUCUUCGGAUCGUAAAACUCUGUUAUUAGGGAAGAACAAAUGUGUAAGUAACUAUGCACGUCUUGAC